rnacentral:guide_RNA from 1 species
AUAAACUAUACAGUCGAAACAUCAAUGAGAGAUUAUGACUUAAU